rnacentral:rRNA from 1 species
UUUAAUUGGAGAGUUUGAUCCUGGCUCAGAAUGAACGCUGGCGGCGUGCUUAACACAUGCAAGUCGUACGAGAACGCUUCAGCUUGCUGAAGCUAGUAAAGUGGCGUACGGGUGAGUAACGCGUGGGUAAUCUACCUUCGAAUCGGGGAUAACUUCGCGAAAGCGUAGCUAAUACCGGAUAACAUCUAUCGGGUUGCGGCCUUAUAGAUCAAAGGUGGCCUCUACAUGUAAGCUACCGUUCGGGGAUGAGCCCGCGUACCAUUAGCUUGUUGGUAGGGUAACGGCCUACCAAGGCCACGAUGGUUAGCUGGUCUGAGAGGAUGAUCAGCCACACUGGAACUGACACACGGUCCAGACUCCUACGGGAGGCAGCAGUGAGGAAUUUUGCGCAAUGGGGGAAACCCUGACGCAGCAACGCC